rnacentral:rRNA from 1 species
GUAUUAAAGGUAACGCCUGCCCAGUGAUAAUUAAACGGCCGCGGGAUCCUCCACCGUGCAAAGGUAGCAUAAUCACUUGUCCCCUAAAUAGUGACUAGUAUGAAUGGCCAAAUGAAGAUUUUACUGUCUCUUAUAGCCGAUCUAUGAAACUAAUCUAUCAGUACAAAAACUGACAUUUUUACAUAAGACGAAAAGACCCUGUGGAACUUCAAGCGCUUUUAGUUGGGGCAACUUUGGAAAUAAGCAAAACUUCCAAAAGAUAAACAUAUCUGACCCAGCACCAAAGAACCAAGCUACCCCAGGGAUAACAGCGCCAUCCCCUCUUAGAGCCCAAAUCGACGAGCGGGGUUUACGACCUCGAUGUUGGAUCAGGGCCCC